rnacentral:rRNA from 1 species
GACGAACGCUGGCGGCGUGCUUAACACAUGCAAGUCGAACGAUGAACCCGGAGCUUGCUCCGGCGGAUUAGUGGCGAACGGGUGAGUAACACGUGAGUAACCUGCCCUUGACUCUGGAAUAACUGCGGGAAACUGUAGCUAAUACCGGAUACGACCCUCGGCGGCAUCGCCAGGGGGUGGAAAGAAUUUCGGUCAAGGAUGGACUCGCGGCCUAUCAGCUAGUUGGUGAGGUAACGGCUCACCAAGGCGACGACGGGUAGCCGGCCUGAGAGGGUGACCGGCCACACUGGGACUGAGACACGGCCCAGACUCCUACGGGAGGCAGCAGUGGGGAAUAUUGCACAAUGGGCGCAAGCCUGAUGCAGCAACGCCGCGUGAGGGAUGACGGCCUUCGGGUUGUAAACCUCUUUUAGUAGGGAAGAAGCGAAAGUGACGGUACCUGCAGAAAAAGCACCGGCUAACUACGUGCCAGCCGCCGCAGUAA